CUGUCUACUAUCCAGCGAA
rnacentral:sRNA from 1 species